rnacentral:rRNA from 1 species
AACCUACCCUAAAGACGAGGAUAACCAUUGGAAACAGUGGCUAAGACUGGAUAGGAAGAUAAAAGGCAUCUUUUAUCUUUUAAAAGACCUAGUAAUAGGUAUGCUUUAGGAGGGGCUUGCGCCAUAUUAGUUAGUUGGUAGGGUAAUGGCCUACCAAGACGAUGAUGUGUAGCUGGACUGAGAGGUUGAACAGCCACAUUGGGACUGAGACACGGCCCAAACUCCUACGGGAGGCAGCAGUAGGGAAUUUUCGGCAAUGGAGGAAACUCUGACCGAGCAACGCCGCGUGAAUGACGAAGUACUUCGGUAUGUAAAGUUCUUUUAUCAAGGAAGAAAAGCAAAUGGCGAACCAUUUGUUUGCCGGUACUUGAUGAAUAAGCCCCGGCUAAUUAUGUGCCAGCAGCCGCGGUAAGACAUAAGGGGCAAGUGUUAUCCGGAAUUAUUGGGCGUAAAGGGUGCGUAGGCGGUCUAGUAAGUCAGUGGUGUAAUGGCAACGCUUAACGUUGUCCGGCUAUUGAAACUGCUAAACUUGAGUUAGAUAGAGGCGAGUGGAAUUCCAUGUGUAGCGGUAAAAUGCGUAAAUAUAUGGAGGAACACCAGAGGCGUAGGCGGCUCGCUGGGUCUUAACUGACGCUGAGGCACGAAAGCGUGGGGAGCAAACAGGAUUAGAUACCCUGGUAGUCCACGCCGUAAACGAUGAGUACUAAGUGUCGGGUUAAACCGGUACUGAAGUUAACACAUUAAGUACUCCGCCUGAGUAGUACGUACGCAAGUAUGAAACUUAAAGGAAUUGACGGGACUCCGCACAAGCGGUGGAUCAUGUUGUUUAAUUCGAAGAUACCCGAAAAACCUUACCAGGUCUUGACAUGUUUUUGCAAAAUGAUAGUAAUAUCGUGGAGGUUACCAGAAACACAGGUGGUGCAUGGUUGUCGUCAGCUCGUGUCGUGAGAUGUUAGGUUAAGUCCUAAAACGAGCGAAACCCUUAUCGUUAGUUGCCAGCACGUUAUGGUGGGGACUUUAACGAGACUGCCAAUGAUAAAUUGGAGGAAGGUGAGGAUCACGUCAAAUCAGCAUGCCCCUUAUGACCUGGGCUACAAACGUGAUACAAUGGCUGUUACAAAGGGUAGCUGAAACGCAAGUUCUUGGCCAAUCCCCAAAAACAGUCCCAGUCCGGAUUGAAGUCUGCAACUCGACUUCAUGAAGUUGGAAUCGCUAGUAAUCGCGAAUCAGCAUGUCGCGGUGAAUACGUUCUCGGGGUUUGUACACACCGCCCGUCAAACCACGAAAGUUGGCAAUACCCCAAAACGGUAGCCUAACUCG